rnacentral:rRNA from 1 species
CGUAGGGUGCGAGCGUUAAUCGGAAUUACUGGGCGUAAAGCGUGCGCAGGCGGUUUUGUAAGACAGAUGUGAAAUCCCCGGGCUCAACCUGGGACCUGCAUUUGUGACUGCAAGGCUAGAGUACGGUAGAGGGGGAUGGAAUUCCGCGUGUAGCAGUGAAAUGCGUAGAUAUGCGGAGGAACACCGAUGGCGAAGGCAAUCCCCUGGACCUGUACUGACGCUCAUGCACGAAAGCGUGGGGAGCAAAUAGGAUUAGAUACCCUGGUAGUCCACGCCCUAAACGAUGUCAACUGGUUGUUGGGUCUUUACUGACUCAGUAACGAAGCUAACGCGUGAAGUUGACCGCCUGGGGAGUACGGCCGCAAGGUUG